AAGAGCCGCUGAGUGGGGAGGAGAGAGGGACAGAGAGCCUGCUUGCUUUAAAGGAGCAAAGCGGGAGAGGAGAGGAGCCGCUUACACGAGUGUAAGCGGCUCCUGUCCGGUUGGCUCCUUUAAAGCAAGCAGGCUCUCUGUCCCUCUCUCCUCCCCACUCAGCUCGCUAAA
rnacentral:miRNA from 1 species